rnacentral:rRNA from 1 species
UGGGGAAUAUUGGACAAUGGGCGGAAGCCUGAUCCAGCCAUGCCGCGUGUGUGAAGAAGGCCUUUUGGUUGUAAAGCACUUUAGGCGAGGAGGAGGCUACUUGGAUUAAUACUCUAGGAUAGUGGACGUUACUCGCAGAAUAAGCACCGGCUAACUCUGUGCCAGCAGCCGAGGUAAUACAGAGGGUGCGAGCGUUAAUCGGAUUUACUGGGCGUAAAGCGUGCGUAGGCGGCUUCUUAAGUCGGAUGUGAAAUCCCUGAGCUUAACUUAGGAAUUGCAUUCGAUACUGGGAAGCUAGAGUAUGGGAGAGGAUGGUAGAAUUCCAGGUGUAGCGGUGAAAUGCGUAGAGAUCUGGAGGAAUACCGAUGGCGAAGGCAGCCAUCUGGCCUAAUACUGACGCUGAGGUACGAAAGCAUGGGGAGCAAACAGG